rnacentral:rRNA from 1 species
GAUGAACGCUGGCGGUGUGCCUAAUACAUGCAAGUCGAGCGAAUGGAUUAAGAGCUUGCUCUUAUGAAGUUAGCGGCGGACGGGUGAGUAACACGUGGGUAACCUGCCCAUAAGACUGGGAUAACUCCGGGAAACCGGGGCUAAUACCGGAUAACAUUUUGAACCGCAUGGUUCGAAAUUGAAAGGCGGCUUCGGCUGUCACUUAUGGAUGAACCCGCGUCGCAUUAGCUAGUUGGUGAGGUAACGGCUCACCAAGGCAACGAUGCGUAGCCGACCUGAGGGGGUGAUCGGCCACACUGGGACUGAGACACGGCCCAGACUCCUACGGGAGGCAGCAGUAGGGAAUCUUCCGCAAUGGACGAAAGUCUGACGGAGCAACGCCGCGUGAGUGAUGAAGGCUUUCGGGUCGUAAAACUCUGUUGUUAGGGAAGAACAAGUGCUAGUUGAAUAAGCUGGCACCUUGACGGUACCUAACCAGAAAGCCACGGCUAACUACGUGCCAGCCGCCGCAGUAA